UAUAACUAAGUAGUAUAGUAUCAAUACAGGC
rnacentral:piRNA from 1 species